rnacentral:rRNA from 1 species
CGGACGGGUGAGGAAUACAUCGGAAUCUACUCUGUCGUGGGGGAUAACGUAGGGAAACUUACGCUAAUACCGCAUACGACCUACGGGUGAAAGCAGGGGAUCUUCGGACCUUGCGCGAUUGAAUGAGCCGAUGUCGGAUUAGCUAGUUGGCGGGGUAAAGGCCCACCAAGGCGACGAUCCGUAGCUGGUCUGAGAGGAUGAUCAGCCACACUGGAACUGAGACACGGUCCAGACUCCUACGGGAGGCAGCAGUC